rnacentral:misc_RNA from 1 species
UGGUUCCGGCAUCGAUGAAGAACGCAGCGAAAUGCGAUAAGUAAUGUGAAUUGCAGAAUCCAGUGAACCAUCGAAUCUUUGAACGCACAUUGCGCCCCCCGGCAUUCCGGGGGGCAUGCCCGUCCGAGCGUCAUUGCACCUUCAAGCCUCGGCUUGGUUUUGGGCCGCGUCCCCCCGUCGUCAGGGGACGGGCCUUAACGGCAGUGGCCGCCCGGGGGUGACCCUCAGCGCGAUGGUGACUUCUACGCUGGGCAUGUGUCGCCCCGGGCGCGCGCCAGGCAACCCGCAACUGUGUUACGGUUGACCUCGGAUCGGGCAGGGAUACCCGCUGA